GACCGUUCUGGUGGCCUAGUGAUUAGAGCGUCCGCCUCGCAUGCGGGAAGUCGCGGGUUUGAACCCAGGCCGAGUCA